GUGCUUUCUUCAGUAGCUCAUAUACUAAAAUUGGAACGGUGCAGAAAAGAUUACCAUGUCCCCUGCACAUGAGUGACACUCAAAUUCAUAAAUUAUUCCAUAUUUUU
rnacentral:snRNA from 1 species